UUGUUGUAGAACGAAGAGAAGGUUAGCAUUCCCCUUGACAAGGAUGGAAGAGACUUCGACCUGCAACACACAUAUGAUUAAGGAUCUCAAUAUGUGUUUAAUAAAUGACUAUAUACAAUAUGCUUU